AUGAUCCCAGCUUGCUGGGGGAUUAGUGGCGAACGGGUGAGUAACACGUGAGUAACCUGCCCUUGACUCUGGGAUAAGCCUGGGAAACUGGGUCUAAUACCGGAUACGACCAUCUGGCGCAUGUCAUGGUGGUGGAAAGCUUUUGUGGUUUUGGAUGGACUCGCGGCCUAUCAGCUUGUUGGUGGGGUAAUGGCCUACCAAGGCGACGACGGGUAGCCGGCCUGAGAGGGUGACCGGCCACACUGGGACUGAGACACGGCCCAGACUCCUACGGGAGGCAGCAGUGGGGAAUAUUGCACAAUGGGCGCAAGCCUGAUGCAGCGACGCCGCGUGAGGGAUGACGGCCUUCGGGUUGUAAACCUCUUUCAGUAGGGAAGAAGCGAAAGUGACGGUACCUGCAGAAGAAGCGCCGGCUAACUACGUGCCAGCAGCCGCGGUAAUACGUAGGGCGCAAGCGUUAUCCGGAAUUAUUGGGCGUAAAGAGCUCGUAGGCGGUUUGUCGCGUCUGCUGUGAAAGACCGGGGCUCAACUCCGGUUCUGCAGUGGGUACGGGCAGACUAGAGUGCAGUAGGGGAGACUGGAAUUCCUGGUGUAGCGGUGAAAUGCGCAGAUAUCAGGAGGAACACCGAUGGCGAAGGCAGGUCUCUGGGCUGUAACUGACGCUGAGGAGCGAAAGCAUGGGGAGCGAACAGGAUUAGAUACCCUGGUAGUCCAUGCCGUAAACGUUGGGCACUAGGUGUGGGGGACAUUCCACGUUUUCCGCGCCGUA
rnacentral:rRNA from 1 species